AGUCCUAUAGCUCAGUGGGUAGAGUGCUCGCCUCUUAAGCGAGAGACCUGGGUUCGAUUCCCAGCAGGGCAA